GGCAGUUCUCGGGUGAUGCACCCUAGAAUCGGACUCCCUCCUCUCUGGUUCUGGGUGCUUAACCCAAGAAACACA
rfam:Myotis davidii contig81410, whole genome shotgun sequence.